GGAUGAACGCUAGCGGGAGGCCUAACACAUGCAAGCUGAGCGGUAGAGAUCUUUCGGGAUCUUGAGAGCGGCGUACGGGUGCGGAACACGUGUGCAACCUGCCUUUAUCAGGGGGAUAGCCUUUCGAAAGGAAGAUUAAUACCCCAUAAUAUUUUGAGUGGCAUCACUUGAAAUUGAAAACUGAGGUGGAUAAAGAUGGGCACGCGCAAGAUUAGAUAGUUGGUGAGGUAACGGCUCACCAAGUCGAUGAUCUUUAGGGGGCCUGAGAGGGUGAUCCCCCACACUGGUACUGAGACACGGACCAGACUCCUACGGGAGGCAGCAGUGAGGAAUAUUGGACAAUGGGUUAGCGCCUGAUCCAGCCAUCCCGCGUGAAGGACGACGGCCCUAUGGGUUGUAAACUUCUUUUGUACAGGGAUAAACCUACCCUCGUGAGGGUAGCUGAAGGUACUGUACGAAUAAGCACCGGCUAACUCCGU
rnacentral:rRNA from 1 species